rnacentral:rRNA from 1 species
UACGUAGGGGGGCAAGCGUUUGUCCGGAAUCAUUGGGCGUAAAGCGCGCGUAGGCGGCCCGGUAAGUCCGCUGUAAAAGUCAAAGGCUCAACCUUUGAAUGCCGGUGGAUACUGUCGGGCUAGAGUCCGGAAGAGGCGAGUGGAAUUCCUGGUGUAGCGGUGGAAUGCGCAGAUAUCAGGAGGAACACCAAUAGCGAAGGCAGCUCGCUGGGACGUUACUGACACUGAGGCGCGAAAGCGUGGGGAGCGAACAGG